rnacentral:rRNA from 1 species
UAAAGAUUCAUCGCUGAUAGAUAGGCAUGCGUUCCAUUAGGCAGUUGGCGGGGUAACGGCCCACCAAACCGACGAUGGAUGGGGGUUCUGAGAGGAAGGUCCCCCACAUUGGUACUGAGACGCGGACCAAACUCCUACGGGAGGCAGCAGUGAGGAAUAUUGGUCAAUGGGCGUAAGCCUGAACCAGCCAAGUCGCGUGAGGGAUGAAGGUUCUAUGGAUCGUAAACCUCUUUUAUAAGGGAAUAAAGUGCGGGACGUGUCCCGUUUUGUAUGUACCUUAUGAAUAAGGAUCGGCUAACUCCGUGCCAGCAGCCGCGGUAAUACGGAGGAUCCGAGCGUUAUCCGGAUUUAUUGGGUUUAAAGGGUGCGUAGGCGGCCUUUUAAGUCAGCGGUGAAAGUCUGUGGCUCAACCAUAGAAUUGCCGUUGAAACUGGGAGGCUUGAGUAUGUUUGAGGCAGGCGGAAUGCGUGGUGUAGCGGUGAAAUGCUUAGAUAUCACGCAGAACCCCGAUUGCGAAGGCAGCCUGCCAAGCCAUGACUGACGCUGAUGCACGAAAGCGUGGGGAUCAAACAGGAUUAGAUACCCUGGUAGUCCACGC